rnacentral:rRNA from 1 species
UACGUAGGGGGGCAAGCGUUUGUCCGGAAUUAUUGGGCGUAAAGCGCGCGCAGGCGGUAGCUUAAGUCUGAUGUUUAAUCCCAGGGCUCAACCCUGGUUCGCAUCGGAAACUGGGCGACUGGAGUGCAGGAGAGGAAAGUGGAAUUCCACGUGUAGCGGUGAAAUGCGUAGAGAUGUGGAGGAACACCAGUGGCGAAGGCGACUUUCUGGCCUGUAACUGACGCUGAGGCGCGAAAGCGUGGGGAGCAAACAGG